rnacentral:RNase_P_RNA from 1 species
GGAGUUGGACAGACUAUCGCUGCCGACCGUCUGGUCGGGGGAGGAAAGUCCGGACACCAUAGGGCAGGAUGCUGGAUAACGUCCAGGAAGAGUGAUCUUCGGAAAGUGCCACAGAAACAAACCGCCCUGGCCCAAGGUCAGGGUAAGGGUGAAAAGGUGGGGUAAGAGCCCACCAGUUGUUGCGGUGACGCAGCAAGCUCGGCAAACCCCAUUCGGUGCAAGACCAAAUAGGAAGGUGACCGGCCCGGUUAUGAUCCUUCGGGUAGGUUGCUGGAGGCGGUGGGUAACUGUCGCCCUAGAGGAAUGAUAGUCACCUGACAACAGGAACAGAAUCCGGCUUAUCGUCUGACUCCGUAU